rnacentral:lncRNA from 1 species
GUCAGAAUCAUCCAAGUGAAACAAAACCUGAAGCCCUUUAAAUAAGUGGUAUGGGAUCAAAAUCCGGACCCCUUUAAAUAGGCUGUUCGGUGCCAGAUCUCAAGCCAGCCAGAAGUGCACACUGUACCAGCAUCAACUGGAGCCUGAUCGUUUUCACCUGGCAGCACGGCACAGCAAAUGGCCAUCACCCCUCUCCUGCCUUGCACUGGCACCAGGGUUUUUUCUCUUCUGGAAGUGAAGGCAGAACAGUGCGAGGAGCUUGAUGGCUACCACAGCCAACCCAGGGUUACCCUUCUGGAGGAAGAGCAAUUGUGCAUAUCUGCAUCCAGGGUCUUCCAGGUGAUCACUACACAGAGUAAGUCUCAACCCUUCCUGAGACAGCUGAUAAGAGUGUCUGUGUUGGAGGCAGCUAGGAUUUUGGAGCCAAAGGAAGUCCCUGAUAAAGGGCACACCACUGCUUUGCUUUUUGCUCACACAGUUGCUGUACAGCCCAUGGGGCGGCCCUGCUCCUCCUGCACCACCACAAUGAUGUCUUUGAAAAAACCAGGAUAGCCCCAUGCUGAGGUGGGUGUGCAAAACACUCCCUUGCUGCCUUCUGU